AAGUAAGAGUUAACCCUAAAAAAAUUACCUAAGUACAGAUUAUUUUAUGUAACUCUAAAAUAUGAAGUUGAAAUCGUUAGUAAUUAUAAGUUAGUAUAUUAUAGUGAAAUAAAAGUCAAAUUUUGCACACACUGCCCAUCACGCUCGAAAAAUUUUAU
rnacentral:rRNA from 1 species